UGGGGUAUAGCUCAAUGGCAGAGAGCAUGCUUAGCAUGCACGAGGUCCUGGGUUCAAUCCUCAGUACUUCCA
rnacentral:tRNA from 1 species